UAGGAUUUGAUUUAGGAUUUAGGAUUAGGCUUUGGUUAGGAUUUGAUUAAGGUUUGAUUUAGAAUUAGGAUUUGGUUUAGGAUUUAGAAUUUGAUUAGGGUUUGAUUUAGGAUUAAGAUUUGAUUUAGAGUUUAGGAUUUGAUUAGGAUUUGAUUUAGGAUUAGAAAUUAGUUUAAGGUUUAGGAUUUGAUUUAGGAUUAGGAUUUGAUUUAGGAUUUAGGAGUUGAUUAGGGUUUGAUUUAGGAUUUAAGAUUUGAUUAAGGAUUUAGGGUUUGAUUUAGGUUUUAAGAUUUAGUUAGGAUUUGAUUAUGAUUUGAUUAUGAUUUGAUUUAGAAUUUAGGAUUUUAUUUGAGAUUAUUUAGGAUUUAAGAUUUAGUUAGUUUUUAGCCUAAAGUUGGAAUAAAGUAUGAUUUCAACUAGAAUUAAAUUAAGAUUGAAUUGAGAUGUAUUUGAGAUAUGUUUGUAAUCAUUCUAAUAUUUCUUUAAGAUUUCUUAUUGUUUCUUUGGAAUUCUUUUGAGGUUUCUCUAAAUUCGAUUAAAGCUUGUUUAGCAUUGUUUGUGUUCUAUUAGAAUUAGGAUUUUGUUGUUACAAUUUCCAUUCUACCUUCCACAGCCAAGUGCCUAAAGCAUUCUCAAGCAAGAC
rnacentral:lncRNA from 1 species